CCUACGGGAGGCAGCAGUGAGGAAUAUUGGUCAAUGGGCGAGAGCCUGAACCAGCCAAGUCGCGUGAGGGAGUACUGCCCUAUGGGUUGUAAACCUCUUUUGUCGGGGAGCAAAAGCCGGACGUGUCCGGCUGUGAGAGUACCCGAAGAAAAAGCAUCGGCUAACUCCGUGCCAGCAGCCGCGGUAAUACGGGGGAUGCGAGCGUUAUCCGGAUUUAUUGGGUGUAAGGGGUGCGCAGGCGGAUUUUUAAGUCAGCGGUAAAAUCGUGGGGCUCAACCCCAUCCAGCCGUUGAAACUGGGGAUCUAGAGUGUGCGAGAGGUAUGCGGAAUGCGUGGUGUAGCGGUGAAAUGCAUAGAUAUCACGCAGAACCCCGAUUGCGAAGGCAGCAUACCGGUGCACAACUGACGCUCAGGCACGAAAGCGUGGGUAUCGAACAGGAUUAGAUACCCGAGUAGUC
rnacentral:rRNA from 1 species